UUUUCCCUACGGGAGUCAGCAUUUUUUAAUAUUUCACAAUGUUUGAAACCCUGAUGCAGCAACGCCGCGUGAGUGAAGAAGUAUUUCGGUAUGUAAAGCUCUAUCAGCAGGGAAGAAGAAAGACGGUACCUGACUAAGAAGCCCCGGCUAACUACGUGCCAGCAGCCGCGGUAAUACGUAGGGGGCAAGCGUUAUCCGGAUUUACUGGGUGUAAAGGGAGCGUAGACGGCUGUGCAAGUCUGAAGUGAAAGCCCGUGGCUCAACCGCGGAACUGCUUUGGAAAAUGUGUAGCUUGAGUACUGGAG
rnacentral:rRNA from 1 species